GACGAACGCUGGCGGCGUGCCUAAUACAUGCAAGUCGAGCGAAUCUUUAGGAGCUUGCUCCUGAAGGUUAGCGGCGGACGGGUGAGUAACACGUGGGCAACCUGCCUGUAAGACUGGGAUAACACCGGGAAACCGGUGCUAAUACCGGAUAAUUCUUUCCCUCACAUGAGGGAAAGCUGAAAGUCGGUUUCGGCUGACACUUACAGAUGGGCCCGCGGCGCAUUAGCUAGUUGGUGAGGUAACGGCUCACCAAGGCGACGAUGCGUAGCCGACCUGAGAGGGUGAUCGGCCAAACUGGGACUGAGACACGGCCCAGACUCCUACGGGAGGCAGCAGUAGGGAAUCUUCCGCAAUGGACGAAAGUCUGACGGAGCAACGCCGCGUGAGUGAUGAAGGCCUUCGGGUCGUAAAACUCUGUUGUUAGGGAAGAACAAGUACCGGAGUAACUGCCGGUACCUUGACGGUACCUAACCAGAAAGCCACGGCUAACUACGUGCCAGCCGCCGCCGUAACAC
rnacentral:rRNA from 1 species